rnacentral:rRNA from 1 species
CAGCAGCCGCGGGAAUACGAAAGGUGCAAGCGUUAAUCGGAAUUACUGGGCGUAAAACGUGCGUAGGCGGUGAGUUAAGUCUGCUGUGAAAUCCCCGGGCUCAACCUGGGAAUGGCAGUGGAUACUGGCUCGCUAGAGUGUGUCAGAGGAUGGUGGAAUUCCCGGUGUAGCGGUGAAAUGCGUAGAGAUCGGGAGGAACAUCAGUGGGGAAGGCGGCCAUCUGGGACAACACUGACGCUGAGGCACGAAAGCGUGGGGAGCAAACAGGAUUAGAUACCCCCGUAGUCCCUGUCUCUUAUAC